AUGUGAGUACCAGUAACACAAAUAAUUUGUAUUGGUCCUUCUUAGCAAUGUAUUGGUAUACCAAUACCAUACUAUUUCAUCAAAAGAAAAAUAAAAAAAAUACCAUACUAGUCUUAGUACCAAUACCAAAUUAACGAGUACCAAUUACAAGCCACUUGUGUCCAUAUGAAUAUGGACACAAGUUACUUGAGGCCAAAACUUCCUCCAUAUGUAUGCAACUAAAAAUGUGGGAGCACAAUGCAACGUCAACAUGGCACGAAGUCAAAAGGAUGUAAUGCCCGGGAGCCUGCAGAAAUAAAAUACCGUUAGGAUGAAUCAAAUUCGUUGCCCGGUGUUUUCAUGAAUACAAGGGUUUUAAAAACCUUAGAUUCUCACAAAAAUCUUAAAGUUUACACCUUAUUUUCGUCGAGUUCACUCAAUCACUCAUACUUGAGCGACUUUUAAGAAGGGCACGGAAACACUAAAGCAGUAUUCCACUUUGGAACAAUUGUUGUGAUUCACGAUUUUCAUGUACGUGAUUUUUGGCUGCGCACAACCUGUUCGAUGAAAUGCCUGAAUGAAGAUUUCGACGAUCCUCUAAGGUUCGAGAUUGCUUAUUUUGCAAAUGUAUGUAAAUACGAGGUGAUUGGAGAUGAUUUUCAUAUAAUUUCUGUUAUUCUGUCUUUGAUGUCAAUUGAAUAGGCAAUAAUUCUAAUUUAUCGUAUAAAACACAUGAACAAGAAAAGGCCACGCAAAUCUAAUCGUGUGGCGAGGCUUACAAGCUGACUUAAAUUCAUGUCAUUCAAUUCUUUAAAUGGGUAUGAUGUUAAAUGUUAUGGUACAGACAGCUCCAUACCCAGUGAAGUGAUCGAUGGUUGUGCUAAUUCCGAAACUUUUUGUUGUUUGUCAAGUGGCUCUUAUGUCCAGCUUAAUCCAUUGAGGUCCAAAUGCCUGAUGCUUGAAGGGACAUCAGGUUCGUCUUGGGUAUUCAAGUCAAGAUCACCACUAAAUGGAGGAAGCUUGUAGUUCUUAUUAUCGAGCUGAAAUGUGUUCUGAUCCCGUGAGUCUCCUCCAACGCCGACACUCAUGGACAAAUCACUGCAGGCUCCAUCCACUCGGAACAUCAUUUUUCCUGUGUCUUGCGGAGUUGUAGCAGGGAAAAGUAUUGUGGCAUGCUCUUUUAGAUUUCCAUUGAAAUCAUUUCCCUCCAAGAAUCUGGUAUCAUUAUAUGGUCUUAACCCCAACUCGCUGUUGUGCAUACCAUGCUCUCUUUGCUGAGGUCCAUCACAUGAGGUUAAGCAGCUAUCAAUAGAACAAUCUCCCAUUGGUUUGUGGGGUUGAAUUUGCUGCUUAGGGCAUGUUCCGUGCUGUUCUUCUGCUAUCUCUGCGAAGGCCAAGUUUAAGCAUUGGUUGGAUACCUUUGAAACUAAUUCAGAGAGCUGAAGUUUCGCAGCCUCCAGACCAACUACACCAAUGUUCUGCUUUCCUAGCGUCUCCUGAGCUUUUUCUAAGACUGCUUGAAGGUAUUUUCCUUGAGCCUCUAUCCGCAGCUGUAAACGCCUCUGUACCUAAAUUCACAUAAUUUCACAAGGGCUAAAUAAGAAUGUCUAAUGUCACAAGUAACAAAAUUCUCUAAACGAUAAAAUCAUGUCUCAUACCACAUACAUGUAUCAAGCUUUUACGGAUGUGUCUAAGUGUGGAGUGUUUUCUUUACUUUUUUUUUUUUUUUUUUUUAAUUUUAUAUA